UACGGAGGGGGCUAGCGUUGUUCGGAAUUAUUGGGCGUAAAGAGCUCGUAGGCGGUUUGUCGCGUCUGCUGUGAAAACCCGAGGCUCAACCUCGGGCCUGCAGUGGGUACGGGCAGACUAGAGUGCGGUAGGGGAGAUUGGAAUUCCUGGUGUAGCGGUGGAAUGCGCAGAUAUCAGGAGGAACACCAAUGGCGAAGGCAGAUCUCUGGGCCGUAACUGACGCUGAGGAGCGAAAGCAUGGGGAGCAAACAGG
rnacentral:rRNA from 1 species